rnacentral:tRNA from 1 species
GGGCGCAUAGCUCAGUUGGUAGAGCAACGGCCUUACAUGCCGUCGGUCGGGGGUUCGAGUCCCUCUGCGCCACC